rnacentral:rRNA from 1 species
GUGGGGAAUAUUGGACAAUGGGGGAAACCCUGAUCCAGCAACGCCGCGUGGAGGAUGAAGGUCUUCGGAUUGUAAACUCCUGUUAGGGGGGACGAAGGGAUGUCGGCGAACAGUCGGCAAACUUGACGGUACCCCCAGAGGAAGCCCCGGCUAACUCUGUGCCAGCAGCCGCGGUAAUACAGAGGGGGCAAGCGUUAUUCGGAAUUAUUGGGCGUAAAGGGCGCGUAGGCGGCCUUGUAAGUCUUGGGUGAAAUCCCUCAGCUCAACUGAGGAACUGCCUCGGAUACUGCAAGGCUUGAGGCCGGGAGAGGGUAGUGGAAUUCCCAGUGUAGCGGUGAAAUGCGUAGAUAUUGGGAGGAACACCGGUGGCGAAGGCGGCUACCUGGACCGGUUCUGACGCUGAUGCGCGAAAGCGUGGGGAGCAAACAGGAUUAGAAACCCCUGUAGUCC